GCCACACUGGGACUGAGACACGGCCCAGACUCCUACGGGAGGCAGCAGUGGGGAAUAUUGCACAAUGGGCGAAAGCCUGAUGCAGCAACGCCGCGUGAGGGAUGACGGCCUUCGGGUUGUAAACCUCUUUUAGCAGGGAAGAAGCGAAAGUGACGGUACCUGCAGAAAAAGCGCCGGCUAACUACGUGCCAGCAGCCGCGGUAAUACGUAGGGCGCAAGCGUUAUCCGGAAUUAUUGGGCGUAAAGAGCUCGUAGGCGGUUUGUCGCGUCUGCUGUGAAAUCCCGAGGCUCAACCUCGGGCCUGCAGUGGGUACGGGCAGACUAGAGUGCGGUAGGGGAGAUUGGAAUUCCUGGUGUAGCGGUGGAAUGCGCAGAUAUCAGGAGGAACACCGAUGGCGAAGGCAGAUCUCUGGGCCGUAACUGACGCUGAGGAGCGAAAGGGUGGGGAGCAAACAGGCUUAGAUACCCUGGUAGUCCACCCCGUAAACGUUGGGAACUAGUUGUGGGGUCCAUUCCACGGAUUCCGUGACGCAGCUAACGCAUUAAGUUCCCCGCCUGGGGAGUACGGCCGCAAGGCUAAAACUCAAAGGAAUUGACGGGGACCCGCACAAGCGGCGGAGCAUGCGGAUUAAUUCGAUGCAACGCGAAGAACCUUACCAAGGCUUGACAUAUACGAGAACGGGCCAGAAAUGGUCAACUCUUUGGACACUCGUAAACAGGUGGUGCAUGGUUGUCGUCAGCUCGUGUCGUGAGAUGUUGGGUUAAGUCCCGCAACGAGCGCAACCCUCGUUCUAUGUUGCCAGCACGUAAUGGUGGGAACUCAUGGGAUACUGCCGGGGUCAACUCGGAGGAAGGUGGGGAUGACGUCAAAUCAUCAUGCCCCUUAUGUCUUGGGCUUCACGCAUGCUACAAUGGCCGGUACAAAGGGCUGCAAUACCGUGAGGUGGAGCGAAUCCCAAAAAGCCGGUCCCAGUUCGGAUUGAGGUCUGCAACUCGACCUCAUGAAGUCGGAGUCGCUAGUAAUCGCAGAUCAGCAACGCUGCGGUGAAUACGUUCCCGGGUCUUGUACACACCGCCCGUCAAGUCAUGAAAGUCGGUAACACCUGAAGCCGGUGGCCUAACCCUUGUGGAGGGAGCCGUCGAAGGUGGGAUCGGUAAUUAGGACUAAGUCGUAACAAGGUAGCCGUACCGGAAGGUGCGGCUGGAUCACCUCCUUU
rnacentral:rRNA from 1 species